GAGGAGGCGACGGCUUGAAAAGUAUAUAAUAAUAUUAACAAGUAAAAAAAUCGUAUGUUUGCCUUUUGGUUUGCUCGUAUUUGGAUACAUACAUUGAUGUGCUUAUAUAAAAGUUCGUCUCCCGCCUAGUGAUAGUUGACGUGUAAACUUACAGCUCUAAUAGCGUCACUGACAAAAUUAGCUGUGAAAACGGGCUUAGCUGGCCGGACGGGAAAAAAACACCGCCAUCGAUUGAUGAUGCUAUUAGAAAAUCGUGUAUUCUAAUUAGCAUUUAAUUUUCAUAAUGUGAUGUAUUGAAUAAUUGGGAAGACACUCGUUUUGGUCGACCAUUAAUAAAUAAAUAAAUUGCCUAUUACUUUCACAGGGUAGGGAGGGAAGUGCAUACGGCCGAAAUUUCUCACGCGGACGACACGCUAGGCCCCGAACCACACAUACACGGCCGGGAUUACUCAAGUGCCGGCGAGCCGUGCGCUUGGCUCGGCCGCUCAACUUCGCCUCGCCGAAUUGAAACUGAGCUCUCGAGACGGUGUUGAACAACCGAUCGGAAACGCUCGGUUGCUGCGGCGGCCGGCGGUUAAAUUCAAACUUAAAUAAUGCGGGAUCCUUGCCCUUAACUGACUAUACGUUUAUACGAACGAAGUGACUAUUAGAUUAACGGCUCCUUGCCUUUAUUUAAUACUGCUCUUAUUCAGAUAAUGCUUACAACUAACAAAAUUAAUUAUUACAUUAACGGCUCCUUGCCUCCUACUUAACU